ACGUUUUCCGCGCCGUAGCUAACGCAUUAAGUGCCCCGCCUGGGGAGUACGGCCGCAAGGCUAAAACUCAAAGGAAUUGACGGGGGCCCGCACAAGCGGCGGAGCAUGCGGAUUAAUUCGAUGCAACGCGAAGAACCUUACCAAGGCUUGACAUUCACCGGACCGCCCCAGAGAUGGGGUUUCCCUUCGGGGCUGGUGGACAGGUGGUGCAUGGUUGUCGUCAGCUCGUGUCGUGAGAUGUUGGGUUAAGUCCCGCAACGAGCGCAACCCUCGUUCUAUGUUGCCAGCACGUGAUGGUGGGGACUCAUAGGAGACUGCCGGGGUCAACUCGGAGGAAGGUGGGGAUGACGUCAAAUCAUCAUGCCCCUUAUGUCUUGGGCUUCACGCAUGCUACAAUGGCCGGUACAAAGGGUUGCGAUACUGUGAGGUGGAGCUAAUCCCAAAAAGCCGGUCUCAGUUCGGAUUGAGGUCUGCAACUCGACCUCAUGAAGUCGGAGUCGCUAGUAAUCGCAGAUCAGCAACGCUGCGGUGAAUACGUUCCCGGGCCUUGUACACACCGCCCGUCACACCACGAAAGUUUGUAACACCCAAAGUCGGUG
rnacentral:rRNA from 1 species